CUACAGAUUUUAUUGUGGCUCAGUCACAUAGCCAUGGCUGACUGGUCAUGCGGUCAACCUUAGUCUCCAGAGGUCAAAUUCAUACCACAUGACCCAAGGACCCUUCCUAUAAAUCACACUGCUAGCAUAGGCUAUCUGGCUUGGCCAAAGGUCCCCAGGUUAAACAAAUCAAGGCAAGAUAUUCCUAGGUCUUAGAGGUUACCUCCCAGGAGCCAAGGGCAAAGGCCAAACCUCUUUGGGUGAAAGAUUAAUCGUUUAUUGUCCAUCCAGACCUUCUUGUUCCACUUGACAGAAUUUCUCUGCAACAUCCCUCCAAACUUACACCUCUCCUAAUCUAUUCCAUCCUCAAGAACAACACCAACCAUCAUCCAAGUGAUCAAGCCACUUGCACCCUAAUUCAAGCCACCAUCAGUUCUCACAUUGGGGGUUUCUGGCAAGUGCAGCUGGGUAGAUAGAUGAAGGUAGCUCAGACCGGGCGUUUGGGGGGCCCUGAGUGUGUUGCAGAGUGCUAGUACCGGCCCAGGAUGCUGCACCCUGGCCCUCCUUCCCCCAGAAGGACCCCGAACCUCCAGCCAGGGCUUACUCGGUUCGCCAAGGAAGCCUAGCUUCAGAGCCUGGACAAGAAGAUCUGCUCCCUGCCCAGUCCUGAGUCCCAGACGCACAACUCAGAAAGCAAAACUCAAGUUUCAGAAACUGCUGGGCCCCCAGAACAGAAGGGGAAGAAAGCACAUUAGAAAUCCCAGGUGCGGGUCCCUGUGGAGAAGCCUCAGGGCAGGAAGUCAGCGGCAGUGAAAGAGGAGGCGGAGGCCUUCAGCUCCACUGCGGGCCCUGCGGAUGGCCUGGCCUCAGCGCCCGACUCUUCAUUUGCGGUGGACGUCCUGUGACAGCGCCUGCAUGAGAAGAUAGGGGAGGCACGCAGCCAGGGCAACGCCAGGAAGCUGCUUCCCACCUCUUUGGGGAAAAGAUGCUGGAGGAAGCUGAGGCAGCAGGAGUGGGACCGGAAGUAGAGGGAGCAGAAGGGAAUGGCCUUUGGGACUGCUGUGUCAGCCCCAAACUCUUUUGAAAAGGACGAAAACCAGCGACUGAAGCCAGACCGAAGGUGGAAUUGAUGGUCUCGGCGACUGGAAGAAGGCGGGGCCAUCCUCAGUUAAGAAACAGAUGGUAACCAAAAGGAAGCUGGUGUUGGCUGUAUUGGAAGAUGAAGUCAAUUUUAAGAUAAAAGGCACUGCUAAAGAGAAGGAAUAUCCCCACGUGAUGAAAAGGGGUUCAAAUCACCUGGAAGGUGGAAAAGCUGUGCACCAGGAACAUAUCUCCAAGUCUGUCUAGCAGAAAGUGACACAAGGAGAAAUCAAGUCACAGAUCAAAGUGGGAGAUUUUUAACAUCUCUGUUAGGAAUUGAUACACAAGCAGAUAAAAAUCGGAUGGCUAUGGAAAGUUCGGAUGAAAACAGUUAUAAGCUUGAUCUGAUGGACACACAGAACGGUAUCUGAAAACAGUAUAUACUUCAAGCACACAUGGAACAGUGGGGGAAACUCUCAAAGUUCGUAAAACAAGUCAUAUUUUAAAGUGUCAAUGUCAUACAAAGUAUAUUACCUGGUCAUAGCACAAUUUAAAAACGUAAGUGGAAAUUGCUAAAGUUUCCUGUUCGGAAGUUUAGAAACAUGCUUCUAAAUUACCUGUGGGUCAAAGAAUAAUACCUAAUGGAUGUCAGAGUAUUUGGGAUCAAAAGAUAAUGAAGAUGCUAUGCAUUAAAAUGUGUCAGACACAGCAAAGACACUGCAAAAAAGCACUAGAUAGCCUUUAAAAAAAAAAAACAAAAACAAACAAUUUCUCACCUGAACUAUAGCCACCUCAUAUCACCCUGUCUCCAGCUUUGCCACCUCACAGGCACAAACAACAGAAAAUGACCAGCUAGAACCAGGCUGGAAAUGCAGAGGAUGACUUCGGAUCAUCGCAAUCUAUUAAGAC
ensembl:lncRNA